UACGGAGGGUGCAAGCGUUAUCCGGAUUCAUUGGGCGUAAAGGGCGCGUAGGCGGCCUGGCAAGUGGAAGGUGAAAUCCCUCGGCUUAACCGAGGAACUGCCCUCCAAACUGCUUGGCUUGAGUCCGGGAGAGGUGAGUGGAAUUCCCAGUGUAGCGGUGAAAUGCGUAGAUAUUGGGAGGAACACCAGUGGCGAAGGCGGCUCACUGGACCGGAACUGACGCUGAGGCGCGAAAGCGUGGGGAGCAAACGGG
rnacentral:rRNA from 1 species